rnacentral:rRNA from 1 species
UCGAACGAGAAGAGAUGAGAAGCUUGCUUCUUAUCGAUUCGAGUGGCAAACGGGUGAGUAACGCGUAAGCAACCUGCCCUCUAGAUGGGGACAACAGCUGGAAACGGCUGCUAAUACCGAAUACGUUCUUUCUGUCGCAUGGCAGAGGGAAGAAAGGGAGGCUCUUCGGAGCUUUCGCUGGAGGAGGGGCUUGCGUCUGAUUAGCUAGUUGGAGGGGUAACGGCCCACCAAGGCGACGAUCAGUAGCCGGUCUGAGAGGAUGAACGGCCACAUUGGGACUGAGACACGGCCCAGACUCCUACGGGAGGCAGCAGUGGGGAAUCUUCCGCAAUGGACGAAAGUCUGACGGAGCAACGCCGCGUGAACGAUGACGGCCUUCGGGUUGUAAAGUUCUGUUAUACGGGACGAAUGGUACGACGGUCAACACCCGUCGUAAGUGACGGUACCGUAAGAGAAAGCCACGGCUAACUAACGUGCCAG